UACGAGUGAAAACUUAAAAUUUAAAAGACUUGACGGUGCUUCACACCAACCUAGAGGAGCCUGUCUAGUAACCGAUAAUCCACGAUUCAACCAACCCGCUCUAGCCUAACAGUCUAUAUACCGCCGUCGCCAGCCUACCUUGUGAAAGAAACAAAGUAAACUCAAUAACACCACAUUAAUACGACAGGUCGAGGUGUAACUUAUGAACGGGUAAAGAUGGGCUACAUUUUCUAAUCCAGAAAACACGGAUAAACUAUGAAACUAGAAACUGAAGACGGAUUUAGCAGUAAGCUAAGAACAGAAUGC
rnacentral:rRNA from 1 species